GGAGUCUUGGCUGCGCCGGCCUGCCUCAGGGCCGUGGUCGCGCCGUCCCCUCUCGUGUCAUCCAGACCUCGGACCGGGACCUCCACCAGACGCCAGCCGACCAAUUGGCCAGGGUGGUCCUGCAGUUUCGCGAUUAGACCGACAAAUUCAAUGUCACCAAGCUGUCCAUAGACACCUUCCCUGGAUCGCCAUGAAGAAUGAGACCUGCUUCUCUGAGAUUCCGCCUUUUUGAAGCUUAGAGACUCCAACACAGGUCAACCCUGAAACAAGAUGACCUAUUCCACCAGCAUCAAUAAACCCCUAAUCCUGGAGGAAGGAAGUGGGGUCUAGUUUCCACCGUUGCUAUAAGAAAAUCAGGGCUUUGUUUGUCGGGACGCUCUUCCAGCGGUCGUGACACCCGCGGUUUGCUUUGGCCGGCGAGCGCCUUCCGCAGACAAAGGGCC
rnacentral:lncRNA from 1 species